rnacentral:lncRNA from 1 species
UGACGCACACUCUCCACCUCCCUCUGCCGCUCACUUCCCCUAUACCUUCCUCCUUCUCUCGGCCUCCUGCCACCACCGGAGGUCGGCGGCUCUGCCGUCCUCCCUCUCCUCCCCUUAUCUCUCGCCCCCUUCGACCUCUCUCCCUCUUCCUCAUCUCGCACCUUCCACUGCCUUCUCCUCACCGCGCCCAGCCGCGGCCGCUCCGGCGACCUUGGCCACCUGCCACCACCUGCUCCUGCCCGGCAUCGCCCUUAUCUCCUCUCUCUCUCUCUCUCCUGGCCGACAACAGCACCACCAUCGUCGCCCUCGCGUCGACGGCAGCGCUGCCCGGGCGCCUUCUCCAUCGGUCGCCACCUUCCGCCAACAGCAGCGCAUGGCGGCGCCAUUCCACCACCCCCCCUCUCUGUAUUUCUGGCUCCUCAACAGCCCACCUAAUUUCAUCUCAAAUUCUAUCUAUGUUAUUCUAAAAUUCUAGUUUCUUUUCUGUAAAAGUAGUGAAUUUUGUUCUAUCUGAUUUCUUAUGAAUAAUAGAUUCAAUUAUAUGUAUGCAUAUCUGGAUUUGGAAAUUUUGGUUUUGGGCAGAAAAUGAAGAAACAAUUGAGAUGCUGAAAUAAAAUUAAAAUUACA